rnacentral:snRNA from 1 species
GCUUGCUUCAGCAGUACACAAAAUUGGAACAAUACAGGGANGAUUNGCAUGGCCCCUGUGCAAGGAUGGCAUGCAAAUUGGUGAAGCGUUCCCUAUUUUU